AUCGCUUCUCGGCCUUUUGGCUAAGAUCAAGUGUAUACUCCGGAAUUGUCAAGUGGCUUUAAAUUAAAUUUUUGCUUACAAAUUCUUUGGGAGAAACUAAUUUUUGUUUCCAAGAGAAUUCUAAAAGUAAU
rnacentral:snRNA from 1 species